AUAGAGAGAGAGAGGAAGGCAUGGAGACAUAGAGAGAGAGAUGAAGGCAGAGAGACAUAGAGAGAGAGAGAGGAAGACAGUGAGACAUAGAGAGAGAGAGGAAGACAGGGAGACAUAGAGAGAGAGAGAAAGACAGGGAGACAUAGAGAGAGGAAGACAGUGAGACAUAGAGAGAGAGGGGAAGACGGGGAGACAUAGAGAGAGAGAGAAAGACAGGAAGAGAUAGAGAGAGAGGAAGGCAGAGAGACAUAGAGAGAGAGAGGAAGGCAGGGAGACAUAGAGAGAGAUAGAAAGACAGGAAGAGAUAGAGAGAGAGGAAGGCAGAGAGACAUAGAGAGAGAGAGGAAGGCAGGGAGACAUAGAGAGAGAGAGGAAGGCAGAGAGACAUAGGGAGAGAGGAAGACAGGGAGACAUAGAGAGAGAGGAAGGCAGGGAGACAUAGAGAGAGAGGAAGGCAGGGAGACAUAGAGAGAGAGGAAGGCAGGGAGAUAUAGAGAGAGAGGAAUUCAGGGAGACAUAGAGAGAGAGAGAGGAAGACAGGGAGACAUAGAGAGAGAGAGGAAGGCAGGGAGACAUAUAGAGAGAGAGGAAGGCAGAGAGAGAGAGGAAGGCAGAGAGACAUAGAGAGAGAGGACGACAGGGAGACAUAGAGAGAGAGUGGACGACAGGGAGACAUAGAGAGCGAGUAAGCCAGGGAGACAUAGAGAGAGAGAGUAAGACAGGGAGACAUAGAGAGAGAGAGGAAGGCAGGGAGACAUAGAGAGAGAGUGAAAGACAGGGAGAGAUGGAGAGAGAGGAAGGCAGGGAGACAUAGAGAGAGAGAGAGAGAGAGAGAGAGAGAGAGAGAGAGAGAGAGAGAGAAGACAGGGAGACAUAGAGAGAGAGAGGAAGACAGGGAGACAUAGAGAGAGAGAGGAAGGUAGGGAGACAUAGAGAGAGAGAGAGAGAGAGAGAGAGAGAGAGAGAGAGAGAGAGAGAGAGAGAGAGAGAGAGAGAGAGAGAGACAGGGAGACAUAGAGACAUAGAGAGAGAGAUGAA